GAUGAACGCUGGCGGCGUGCCUAAUACAUGCAAGUCGAGCGAACGGACGAGAAGCUUGCUUCUCUGAUGUUAGCGGCGGACGGGUGAGUAACACGUGGAUAACCUACCUAUAAGACUGGGAUAACUUCGGGAAACCGGAGCUAAUACCGGAUAAUAUUUUGAACCGCAUGGUUCAAAAGUGAAAGACGGUCUUGCUGUCACUUAUAGAUGGAUCCGCGCUGCAUUAGCUAGUUGGUAAGGUAACGGCUUACCAAGGCAACGAUGCAUAGCCGACCUGAGAGGGUGAUCGGCCACACUGGAACUGAGACACGGUCCAGACUCCUACGGGAGGCAGCAGUAGGGAAUCUUCCGCAAUGGGCGAAAGCCUGACGGAGCAACGCCGCGUGAGUGAUGAAGGUCUUCGGAUCGUAAAACUCUGUUAUUAGGGAAGAACAUAUGUGUAAGUAACUGUGCACAUCUUGACGGUACCUAAUCAGAAAGCCACGGCUAACUACGUGCCAGCAGCCGCGGUAAUACGUAGGUGGCAAGCGUUAUCCGGAAUUAUUGGGCGUAAAGCGCGCGUAGACGGUUUUUUAAGUCUGAUGUGAAAGCCCACGGCUCAACCGUGGAGGGUCAUUGGAAACUGGAAAACUUGAGUGCAGAAGAGGAAAGUGGAAUUCCAUGUGUAGCGGUGAAAUGCGCAGAGAUAUGGAGGAACACCAGUGGCGAAGGCGACUUUCUGGUCUGUAACUGACGCUGAUGUGCGAAAGCGUGGGGAUCAAACAGGAUUAGAUACCCUGGUAGUCCACGCCGUAAACGAUGAGUGCUAAGUGUUAGGGGGUUUCCGCCCCUUAGUGCUGCAGCUAACGCAUUAAGCACUCCGCCUGGGGAGUACGACCGCAAGGUUGAAACUCAAAGGAAUUGACGGGGACCCGCACAAGCGGUGGAGCAUGUGGUUUAAUUCGAAGCAACGCGAAGAACCUUACCAAAUCUUGACAUCCUUUGACAACUCUAGAGAUAGAGCCUUCCCCUUCGGGGGACAAAGUGACAGGUGGUGCAUGGUUGUCGUCAGCUCGUGUCGUGAGAUGUUGGGUUAAGUCCCGCAACGAGCGCAACCCUUAAGCUUAGUUGCCAUCAUUAAGUUGGGCACUCUAAGUUGACUGCCGGUGACAAACCGGAGGAAGGUGGGGAUGACGUCAAAUCAUCAUGCCCCUUAUGAUUUGGGCUACACACGUGCUUCAAUGGACAAUACAAAGGGCAGCGAAACCGCGAGGUCAAGCAAAUCCCAUAAAGUUGUUCUCAGUUCGGAUUGUAGUCUGCAACUCGACUACAUGAAGCUGGAAUCGCUAGUAAUCGUAGAUCAGCAUCCUACGGGAAUAACCUUUCCGGGUGU
rnacentral:rRNA from 1 species